rnacentral:rRNA from 1 species
AGUAAACGGCGGCCGUAACUAUAACGGUCCUAAGGUAGCGAAAUUCCUUGUCGGGUAAGUUCCGACCCGCACGAAAGGCGUAACGAUUUGGGCACUGUCUCAACGAGAGACUCGGUGAAAUCAUAGUACCUGUGAAGAUGCAGGUUACCCGCGACAGGACGGAAAGACCCCGUGGAGCUUUACUGUAGCCUGAUAUUGAAAUUCGGCACAGCUUGUACAGGAUAGGUAGGAGCCUUUGAAACGUGAGCGCUAGCUUACGUGGAGGCGCUGGUGGGAUACUACCCUAGCUGUGUUGGCUUUCUAACCCGCACCACUUAUCGUGGUGGGAGACAGUGUCAGGCGGGCAGUUUGACUGGGGCGGUCGCCUCCUAAAAGGUAACGGAGGCGCUCAAAGGUUCCCUCAGAAUGGUUGGAAAUCAUUCAUAGAGUGUAAAGGCAUAAGGGAGCUUGACUGCGAGACCUACAAGUCGAGCAGGGUCGAAAGACGGACUUAGUGAUCCGGUGGUUCCGCAUGGAAGGGCCAUCGCUCAACGGAUAAAAGCUACCCCGGGGAUAACAGGCUUAUCUCCCCCAAGAGUUCACAUCGACGGGGAGGUUUGGCACCUCGAUGUCGGCUCAUCGCAUCCUGGGGCUGUAGUCGGUCCCAAGGGUUGGGCUGUUCGCCCAUUAAAGCGGUACGCGAGCUGGGUUCAGAACGUCGUGAGACAGUUCGGUCCCUAUCCGUCGUGGGCGUAGGAAAUUUGAGAGGAGCUGUCCUUAGUACGAGAGGACCGGGAUGGACAUACCUCUGGUGUACCAGUUGUCGUGCCAACGGCAUAGCUGGGUAGCUAUGUGUGGACGGGAUAAGUGCUG